rnacentral:rRNA from 1 species
AGAGUUUGAUCCUGGCUCAGAUUGAACGCUAGCGGCAUGCCUAACACAUGCAAGUCGAACGGCAGCAUGGGGAGCUUGCUCCCUGAUGGCGAGUGGCGAACGGGUGAGUAGUACGUAGGAAUCUACCUUAAAGUGGGGGAUAACUCGAGGAAACUUGAGCUAAUACCGCAUAAUCUCUUCGGAGCAAAGCGGGGGACUUU